rnacentral:rRNA from 1 species
UAACACGUAUCCAACCUGCCCUUUACUCGGGGAUAGCCUUUCGAAAGAAAGAUUAAUACCCGAUAGCAUAAUGAUUCCGCAUGGUUUCAUUAUUAAAGGAUUCCGGUAAAGGAUGGGGAUGCGUUCCAUUAGGUUGUUGGUGAGGUAACGGCUCACCAAGCCUUCGAUGGAUAGGGGUUCUGAGAGGAAGGUCCCCCCACAUUGGAACUGAGACACGGUCCAAACUCCUACGGGAGGCAGCAUG